rfam:Triticum aestivum genome assembly, contig: Triticum_aestivum_CS42_TGACv1_scaffold_592006_7BS
AAAGUAUUCCCUCCUUCCCAAAAUUCUUGUCUUAGAUUUGUCUAGAUACGGAUGACUUGAUACAUCCGUAUCUAGACAAAUCUAAGACAAGAAAUUUGGGACAGAGGGAGUAGUUG